AAAAGAAAGUGGGUGAUUAAAACAUAUUUUUAAAACUGAGGCCCUGGUUAAAAGACUAAUAGGAGAAACAGUAUACAAAAUAUAAUAAUAUGCAUAUUCAUGCAUGGGAGUAAACAAAACAUGGACAUAUUAAAGAAAGGACCAGAGGGUUGAAGUUUCAUACUGUCCUGAGAUUACACAAAUAAUAGGGGUUUGGAGCACACCAAGACCAGUUACAGGAAGGAGCAGAGGAAAGGCGUGGCUAACCAAGGUUUUCUUACUAUGCAGGUGAAACUGACACAGGACAGGCAAGUCCACAAACUGAGGCUCAUCCGGGGGGCGUUCUUGGCUUUGCCCAGGAAAUAAUUCAAGGGCAAGCUGGUGGCGUUAAAAAGUAACUUCAACUGAAGCAGCAGUGUACAGCAAAGCAGAGUUAAAAGGCUUAACAUUUCUGAGGGACUGAUUCCUUGAUCAGGAACCAAACCCUGGCCAUGAUGGUUAAAAAGUGGAAUCCUAGCCACUGAACUAUGGGCUGGAGUGCCUUUUUGAAAAAUCCCACAAGGGAUCCAACACAGCACUUUCAGCAAACUGCCCAGUGUGGUGUCAGAGCCCCGACAUUGGAAAAUGUUUGACUCACAGACCAUCUCCUUUCAGCUCUCAAAUACUGUCUGAUACUUCAAAGCAUCUCAAUCAUACAACGUCUGCCCACAUGGCCCAACUGAUGUUUUGGAAAACCUUGUCAAGAAUUCCAGGGAAUGAAUAGAGUUAUUCCAGCAGCUUCUAGAACUUUUCACAGGGUUGUAUAUUUCUGCUGUUCAUUAUGGCAGCCACUGACUCCAUGUGAUACUUGAGUUCUUGAAAUGUGGCAAGUGUGAGUGAGGAAUUGAAUUUUUGGUUUUAUUUAAUUUUAAUUAAUUGAAAUUUAAAUUUAAGAAGUCAUAUAUGGCAAAUGGCUACCACAUUAGUCAAUGCAGCAGAAGUUUCUAAAUUGAAUAUAAAGCACCUGAUUAUGUCAGGAUGGGUUACAAUAAUAAUCAAUUUAUUUUAACAUCCUGCUAUUGAAAUAAUAUCAUGAGGAUGCCAAUCAGAAACCAUCCUCUUUUAUUUCUGGUUUUGUUUUUAUGAGCACUAAUACUCUAGAGUUUUGAAUGAUGGAUUAAAAUAACUAAAUUCUAGUUCCAUGUGAUUUUUUCUACUUCGCUAAGUGUAUUUUUCAUGUGUAUACAAGAGAUGAUACUCUACCUGAAUCUUUCAUUGUGAUUUAUGAUAAUAUUUACAUUUUAAGAAUUAUUGAGCACCUACUAAUUACUAGAUAUGAGACAAGUUCUUGGUUUGCAAAGAUAAAUAAAACAUGGUUUCCAAUCGAGCUUAUAGUCCAGCUUUAUAUUGCUUGUGAAAAUUGAUUUAAUAUUUAUAAGGUGCUAUGGAAAGUCAAGGAUUAUUAUUUUUUGUUCUUCAGUCACUGUAAUGUUUUCUGUAUAUAAAGGUCAGAUUUUCAAUAGUAAAAGAUAUUGGAAAGGCAUAAAAACUGGAAAAUAACAGACCAAGUUGGGAAAAGCUGACUAUAUUAAGACCGCAAAUAUCUCUCAACGAGUGGUGUUAGGUAGGUGACAAGAAGGCAAGGGACUUUUCCAUUCAUUGAAAGCAAUAAAUAAAAACUAAUAUCUGGACAGUGCUUUAAAGCUUAUGAAGUACAGUCACAGCACCUAGGCCCACACUUAAGGUGUGCAAUCUCAAUUCU
rnacentral:lncRNA from 1 species